CAAAACGAGGGGGGAAUUGGAUUUCGAGACAUGCAUCUAUUCAACCAAGCCUUGCUAGCUAGGCAGGGCUGGAGACUUAUUCAGAGACCGGACAGCCUGUGUGCAAAGGUACUCAAAUCCAAAUACUACCCUAAAGGGGGAUUGUUGGACACUGUCUUUGCGACGGAGGCUUCGCAGUCGUGGAGAGGAAUUGCAUUUGGUCUCGAACUCCUUAAGAAGGGACUCAUUUGA
rnacentral:rRNA from 1 species